GUGUGUGUGUGUGUUGUGUCUCAAGGUCACGCAUGUGCUUGCCAGGUAGAAGGAUGAAAGGAACAAAGGUAUAGUAGACAGGGAAAACCCCGUGUAUACAAUGAAAACAAAAAAAGUCUGGUUGAUCAGGGAAUUUUAAGCAGCCAUUAAAGAGAUUCAAAGCAGCUGAGGUAAGAGCAAGAUGCUAGAGGGACAGUGACAUCAUCAAGAAUGCAGGUACUGUGUGACAGUGACAUCCUCAAGAGUGCAGGUACUGUGUGACAGUGACAUCCUCAAGAGUGCAGGUACUGUGUGACAGUGACAUCCUCAAGAGUGCAGGUACUGUGUGACAGUGACAUCCUCAAGAGUGCAGGUACUGUGUGACAGUGACAUCCUCAAGAGUGCAGGUACUGUGUGACAGUGACAUCCCCAAGAGUGCAGGUACUGUGUGACAGUGACAUCCUCAAGAGUGCAGGUACUGUGUGACAGUGACAUCCUCAAGAGUGCAGGUACUGUGUGACAGUGACAUCCUCAAGAGUGCAGGUACUGUGUGACAGUGACAUCAGCAGGAUUACGGCAUGAAUCUGUGAGGUCAGAGACCACAGGCAGGAGGAACUUGAGGGUCCUACCCGAAGAUGUCUGAGGUCCAGGCCCAGGGGCUGACCCUCUCAAUAGAGAAGGUAGAUUCCCUUGUAGGGAACAGGGUCAGUAGUAAUGCCAGGAUCUUAGCUUGAGACAGGAAGAAAUGCAUUUCAUGUGGAAAACUCCACCUCGAAGGUUUUGGAGGACCAGUAGUGGUUUGUCUGCACAGAUUGCUCACAGCUCUUUGCAGAGUGCUCUCUGGGACCGGAGGCGGCCAUCCUCCAGUGAAGGCCUUACAGCUCCAAAAAGUGCAUUCAUUUACUGUCACCCGUCCCCAGGGACCAUCUGUGGGCAAAGUGCAGCCUGGCUGCUCUAUGACGAUGAGUAGAGAUCAGUUUUUAAAAGUAUUUUAUGGGGCUGGAGAGAUGGCUCAGUAGUAAAGAGCACUGUCUGUUCUUCCGGAGGUCCUGAGUUCAAAUCCCAGCAACCACAUGGUGGCUCACAACCAUCUGUAAUGAGAUCUGAUGCCCUCUUCUGGUGUGUCUGAAGACAGCUACA